UACGUAGGGUGCAAGCGUUGUCCGGAAUUAUUGGGCGUAAAGAGCUCGUAGGCGGUCUGUCGCGUCGGAAGUGAAAACCUGGGGCUUAGCCCCGGGCCUGCUUUCGAUACGGGCAGACUAGAGUUCGGCAGGGGAGACUGGAAUUCCUGGUGUAGCGGUGAAAUGCGCAGAUAUCAGGAAGAACACCCGUGGCUAAGGCGGCUCUCUAGUACGGUACUGACGCUGAGACGCGAAAGCGUGGGGAGCGAACAGG
rnacentral:rRNA from 1 species